rnacentral:rRNA from 1 species
UACAGAGGUCCCAAGCGUUGUUCGGAUUCACUGGGCGUAAAGGGUGCGUAGGCGGUCGGGUAAGUCUGAUGUGAAAUCUCACAGCUUAACUGUGAAACUGCAUUGGAUACUAUUCGGCUUGAGAGUUGGAGGGGGGACUGGAAUUCUUGCUGUAGCAGUGAAAUGCGUAGAUAUCAAGAGGAACACCAGUGGCGAAGGCGAGUCCCUGGACAACUUCUGACGCUGAGGCACGAAAGCUAGGGGAGCAAACAGG